UUAAUGCCAUUUAUUGGUCUAAGAAACUGGAUCACGUGUCUCUGUAGAAUUUCCCACAUUCUGAACUUGGUUUCAGUGUAAACUUGUGACAUCAUUUAACAUGUUUCUCUGUCUCUCGUGUUUCCUAUAAACUGGAAGUUCAACUUAGGGCCUUCUGUACGUUCAUAUUCAAUUCUUUUGACAGGAAUACCUCCUGGUAUUCUGGAUGUGCUGUCUACUUAAUGCAUGAUAUUAGAGGGCAUACAAUGUCCGCUUGUCUCCCGCCUUCUGAUGUUCAGAAUGAUCCAUGGGUUCUGAUGACAUCAGCCUGAUCCCUCCACCAUAAAGGUCCUCCCCCCCAAUCUUUCACUUAAAGGUUUCAGCAACCAUUGAUGAGCAUUGCCUACAGCCAUUAUUUCAUUAAGGGCUGCAGAAUGGUGGUUUUCUAAUUUCAUCAUUCCUUCUGCAUUUAUUAGCACAUCAACGAUUUGAUUACCCUGAAAUAUAGUUCAAUUGGAAGGCAGAACAAAUGCUUGGUUCUUUCUAUAUUUAGCAACAUCCAAAGAAAUGACUUGGGGGCCCUUAGCAACAAGUGCUAGAAGUGACCAGUGAGAUUUCAAGUUAUCAUUAUGAACUCAUAAUCUGUUACAUAUUUGAUGCGUUUCAAGCCACUGCAGUCUUUUUGGUGCUCAUAUUGUCCCAUCUUAGGCCAGGAGAAGCCCCUCUACUGGAUAUUCUUGCCAGAAAAGUCAAAUCUGAAUCUAUUUUUAGCUUUUAGAGCUACUUUACAGUUUAUAGGGGCUGAAAGAAUAAGUACCACCAUCAUCCCUUACUGAGGACUCAGAGACAAAUAGGGCUUGGCAAAUGCUAAUAUGCACAGGAAUCUUAUUUCUGGGGAUCUUAUUAAAGUGCAGCCUCUGAUUCAGCAGAUCUAGAGGGGCCUGAGUCUCUGCAUCUCUAACAAGCUCCCAGGUGAUGCCAAUGCUGCUGGUCCACAGACCACACUCCACACAACAACAAGUGAACCACAGUCUGGACUAUGGUUCCACUGCUUGUUAGCAAUGGCAGUCAUGAGUGAUUCUGAUUACUGCAUUAUUUUCUUUCCUGGUAAAAACCUGGCCGAUCCUUCCAAAUCAGUGGUUCUCAAUCAGGGGUGGCUGUGGCCCCCAGUGGACACUGGGCAAUGUCUGGAGACCUAUUUGGUUAUCACAAACUGCAUGGGGGAGGGUGCUUCUGGCAUGUAUGGGAGUAAAGGCCAGGGGGUGCUGCUGAAUAUCCUGCACUCACACAACAGCCCAUCACAAUUAUCUGGUCCCAUGUGUCACCAGUGCCAAGGUUGAGAAACCCUGGGUUUUGGUUUUUGUUUUUUUUAAUGAAAUUUAUUGUCAAAUUGGUUUCCAUACAACACCCGGUGCUCAUCCCAACAGGUGCCCUCCUCAAUGCCCAUCACCCACUUUCCCCUUCCCCCACCCCCCAUCAACCCUCAGUUUGUUCUCAGUAUUUAAGAGUCUCUUAUGGUUUGCCUCCUUCCCUCUCUGUAACUUUUUUUUUCCCCUCUUCCCCUCCCCCCUGGUCUUCUGUUGAGUUUCUCAGAAUCCACAUAUGAGUGAAAACAUAUGGUAUCUGUCUUUCUCUGCCUGACUUAUUUCACUUAGCAUAACACUCUCCAGUUCUAUCCACAUUGCUACUAAUGGCCAGAUUUCAUUCUUUCUCAUUGCCAAGUAGUAUUCCAUUGUAUAUAUAAACCACAUCUUUGUUGUCCAUUCGCCAGUUGAUGGACAUUUAGGCUCUUUCCAUAAUUUGGCUAUUGUUGAAAGUGCUGCUAUAAACAUUGGGGUACAAGUGCCCCUAUGCAUCAGCACUCCUGUAUCCCUUGGGUAAAUUCCUAGCAGUGCUAUUGCUGGGUCAUAGGGUAGAUCUAUUUUUACUUUUUGAGGAACCUCCACACUGCUUUCCAGAGCAGCUGCACGAGUUUGCAUUCCUACCAACAGUGCAAGAGGGUUCCUGGAGAAACCCUGUUCUAAUAACCAGAAAAUAGGAGUUGGGUCGUGUCAAUUCAUCCCAAGACUAUAAACCCCAAUUUUGGAAGUGGGUCUUGAAUCCAAUACUGUCCUUUCCCAGGCCAGACGUGAAGCUUGGAGAGGUUAACAGAUUAACAGGAAGAACAGGAUGCCAUAUGUAGGGAAGGGGUCACCAGCUCAUAGUCCAUAUUUUGUUUAAAAUCAGGCACAUGUGGUUCGGUAAGCCAAUGAGUGGCCCACUAAGCAUUAAUCUUUCUAUGAUUUCGAGCUACAGCAAUUUAACAGGAACAGAUGUAAGCAGACCUGAAGCUUAGACUAUAAGUUCCCUGAAGGCAGGACCAUAUCCACAUUUGUCCAUCAACAGAGCUACGCUUAGCACAAUGAGGAAGAAGGCAGACACUCAACAUCAUGACGAAUCCUGUAGGUUCAAGAAUUCCAGAUGUGCUAAAUAGAUGCAGAGACUAAACCACCCGUAGUGUGACAUGGUUUAUUAUUUGUCACCACAAACACUAUUACUAACAACAAUGAUCUACGCCAAGGCAUGCCUGGUUCUGUAGAAAGAGCACGGGCUCUAGAGUCACGCAGACCUCGAUCCAAAUCCCGAUUCUCUCACUAUGUGACCUGAGACAAGUUAACAUAGUGUCCACAUCUGUAAUAUGGGCAUAAUAAUCCUUACCUCUGACAGAACUGUUUCAAAGACGUACAGUGUCAUGUAUUUAAACAGCUAGUUGGCUACUUAACCAAUACUUCCUACCAUAUUAAGAACUGGAGUAAAAUGCCCAGUGAGUUAUAUGGUGCUUAUUUCUGCAUAGAACAGUAUGUAAAGAUUUCACCUGAUGACACAAAGCCACAAGACCCCUUUCCUUUAAACCAAAGGCCAUCAUGACCCAGGUUUAUUGAACAACCACAGGACUGUGCAUUUGUGGUUUUAUGAUGGCCAUUCAGGGCCUGGUAGUGCACAAUGAUCAUCAAUGACAAAAUAGAGACCUACACAGCAUGGGAACACCACCGAGUCACUCACUACCAGUGGAAGUGAAAUGUACCCUCUGCUAACAAAUGGUAAGGACCUGAAAACUCACAAUCAUUUUGCAAGAGCUAGGUCUUUCUGAGAAUAGUGAAAAGAACAUAAUUUAGAAGAAGACUGUGUCGUAAGUAACAGACAACGUCUGAGCAUUAGCCACAGACGUUCCAGGAUAUUUCCAUAAUCCAUGUUCGCGUUUCACAUUCCCCACUGUCAGGACGUAACGGUGUUGGACGAAAGGGACAAGCAUGCCGGUUCCAAUGACAUCACUAUGUCUGUGCAAGGAAGAUAUUUUAACAGAUGUGACUAGAAAAGCACACCAGGCAGCAAAACUUCCCCACUAACAGGAGCAAGUGUAUGAUGCCAGGAAAUGGAGGCGUAACCCCGAAGGCAUGAAUGAAAGAGGCUCUCUGACCUCAGCAUUCCAGAAGCUCAGAAAAUAUCAGGCUGGGUACCACCAGACUCUUGCCCAAUACUGGAAACAUCACUGGAAUUGCAAAGUCCAGGGCAGCCAGUAUACUUAAGAAGUCUCCUACUGGAACUUGGAAAGCCACCUUGAAAUAAUGAUGAUAAUAAUAAGCAGCUGAAAACAUAAGCUGACAUCUGAUCGCGCGAAGGUGGGAAUGAAACAUCAGGGUAAUGGGCACCUGGGGACCUUCAUGGGGCAGUAACUCAUCACAAAGCUUUUGACUUGCUGAGAGAAUACAGGUUCCUGAACUGGGUCAGGUUCCUGGUUCGUGUACUGUUGCCCAGAGCAACCCUAAGAGGCUGGACCCAGGGGGACACAGAUGUUCCGUCUGACUUCAGUGUGAAAGCCGAGGCAUGUCCUAGUUCCCCUCAGCAGCCACUCCCGAUUCUGUCAUUCAUAAAUUUGUCCAGACCCUUCUUAAACUACAUUCAUAUAUCCUGCCAGGACCACCUCUUGAGAUGAUGAGUUUUAGAAGAUUAUUACCUGCUGUGUUAAGCAGUACUUCCUUUCAUUGGUUACAACAAGAAAAAGAAGAAUUAGGGGUGAGGCAGCAGAAAGGCUAAUGUUACUUUCAUCAAGGGACAAUCUUGUGUGUGAAAAGUACAGAUAUUUAAUACCCUGGAACCACAAGGCAUUGAAACAGCAACCGUAAACUCGGCUUCAAGGGUUUUGCUUAAUGAAAGUCCCUCAACAUGCAUUUGUGGAAAAACUGGGACUGGACAAAGGCAUAAUUUCUGUUAGAGUUACCUAGUUGGAAAGUAGCUCAAAGAUCAUGGAGCCCAGCAAUGUUUUCAAUCACACAACCCCAAGUUGAUUGCAAAUAUGCAGGGAUCAGAGGUUGGUUUAAAAAAAUUCUGCAAGGGAAACUCAGUGAACUUCCCUAACAGGGAAAUCUCGUAGGAGAAGCUCAGUGAAUACCGUGUCUCUCUGCAUUGUCAGGGAUGCGACAGAACCUCCAGGAAAACGCACUACCAAUCCUCGGGGGACAUGAAGAUGCCCCUCAUUGGCUGAGCUACACUAAGUAUGUGCCUACUGCAGGUGCCUGCAAUAUGGCACCCUGGACUGACUCCUGGAACAGAGACAUGAGUGGAGAAACCAGUGAAAUCAGAAUAAAGUUUGAAGUUUGAUUAAUAGUAAUGUGCAAAUAUUAAUCUUAGUUUUGACAAAUGUGGCACCGUUAUAUAAGAUGUUAUAACAUUAGGAGACGCUAGGAGAAGGGUAUGUGGGAACUCUCUGUACUAUCUUUGCAAGUUUUCUAUGAACCUAUUAUUAUUCCAAAAUAAGGUUAAUUAAAAUUAAAAGACAUUUUUUUAAAGCAAACAUAUUUCAUGACACUCCAGAGCCACUGUACUGGGAGUCAGAAGCCCAUAAAAGCCAUCAGGAUUUUGAAGAAUCAAGAUUCAGGGCAAAGGACAUGAAAAGACAUUUUUCUAAAGAAGACAAACAUAUCAGGGAAAUACAAAUCAAAACCACAAUGAGAUACCACCUCACACCUGUCAGAAUGGCUAAAAUUAACAACACAGUAAAUAACAGAUGUUGGCAAGGAUGUGGAGAAGGGGAAACCCCCUUACACUGUUGACGGAAAUGCAAACUGGUGCAGCCAUUCUGGAAAACAGUAUGGAGGUUCCUCGAAGUUAAAAAUAGAACUACCCUAGGAUCUAGCAAUUGCAGUACUAGGUAUUUACCCAAAGGAUACAAAAAUACUGAUUCAAAGGGGUACAUGUACUCCAAUGUUUAUAGUAGCAUUAUCAACAAUAGCCAAAUUAUGGAAAGAGCCCAAAUGUCUAUCGACUGAUAAAUGGAUAAAGAAGUGGUAGAUACAUACACACACACACACACACACACACACACACACACAGGAAUAUUACUCAGCCAUCAAAAAGAAUGAAAUCUUGCCAUUUGCAACAACGUGGAUGGAGCUAGAGCGUAUUAUGCUAAGCGAAAUAAGUCAGUCAGAGAAAAGAAAAAUACCAUGAUUUCACUCAUAUGCGGAAUUUAAGAAAAAAACAGAUGAACAUAUGAAAAGGGGGUGAGAAGAGAAGAAAGGGAAACAAACCACAAGAGACCCUUAACAAUGGAGAACACAGGGUUGAUGGAGGGAGGUGGGUGGGGGAUGGGUUAGAUGGGUGGUGGGUACAAAGGAGGGCACUUGUAACAAUGAGCACUGGGUUGUAAGUGAUGAAUCACUGAGUUCUACUCCUGAAUCUAGUAUUAUACUAUACAUCAACUAAAAUUUAAAUAAAAUUUGAAAAAAAUAAAAAGAAGACAUAUAGAUGGCCAAUAUGUAUAUGAAAAGGUGCUCAACAUCACUAAUCGUCAGGGAAAUGCAAAUCAAAACCACAAUGAGAUACUGCUUCACACCUAUUAAGAUGACUGUGAUCAAAAAGCCAAGAUAACAAGAGUUGGUGAGGAUGUGGAGAAAAGGGAAUUCUUACACACUGUUGGUAAGAAGGUUAAUUGUUACAGCCACUAAGGACAACAGUACAGAGGUUGCUCAAAAACUAAAAUAAGAACUACCAUAUGAUCCAGCAAUCCCUCUUCUAGUCGAACACCCAAAGAAAAUGCAAUCAGUACCUCGAAGAAAGAUCUGUGUUCUCCCGUUCAUGGCAGCAUUAUUCACAAUAAACAAGAUAUGGAAACAAUAUAAGUGUCUAUCAACGGAUGAAUGGAUAAAGAAUUUGUAGUAUGUAUACACACACACGAGAGAAUAUCACUCAGUCUGGAAGGAAGGAAGGAAGGAAGGAAGGAAGGAAGGAAGGAAGGAAGGAAGGAGGGACCGACGGGGUGCCUGGGUGACUCAGUCUGUUCAGCAUCUGACUCUUGAUUUCUGCUCAGGUCAUGAUCUCAUGGUUCGUGAGAUUGAGCCCCACAUCAGGGUCUGCGCUAGCAGCACGGAACCUGCUUGGGAUAUUCUCUCUCUGUCUCUGUCUCUCUCUCUCUCAAAAAUAAAUGGAUAACCAUCAAAAAAAAAAAAAUAAGAUUACAGAGAUAAAAAGGCAAGGCAAGAAAAGACUAUUUGAACAGCAUCUAAAGAAAACUAUAUCAAAUCUUUCUAAAAGCAAAAAAGAAAAUAGCCCUGAAAAUAUACUAUUGAUUAAAAGCCCUGAACCUUGGAAGAUUUGGGGAUUGAUGCCUGAAGAUUAGAAAAAUUAAGCAAUGUGGCUCCCAGAAGAAAAAUAAAUUUGCUAAGGCAGAUUUAUAAAAAUGUAGCCUACUUAAACAUUUGGGCAGGUUAGAGAAACCAUCAAAACGGCUUUCAACUGGAAAACACUGGGAUCUUAACCCAACUCAUCAUACAUUAGGAUUACAACAUGGCUCGAACUAGAAGUCUGGUUUUGACACCUAGAAAUGGAUUCCACUCCCCACCUCCCCUCAUCACCAAAGAUAAAACACUCAAACAGGGUCACCUGGGUGGCUCAGUGGGAUGAGCGUCUGACUUUGGCUCAAGUCAUGAUCUCACGGUCCAUGGGUUUGAGCCCCGCAUCGGGCUCUGUGCUGCAGCUCAGAGCCCAGAACCUGCUUUGGAUUGUGUCUCCAUCUGUCUCUGACCCUCUCCUGCUCAUGCUCUCUCUCUCGAAAAUAAAUAAAUAUUUUUUAAAAAUUAAAAAAAACAAAAACAACCCACUCAGACCCACUGCUUUCCUACCGGCCCUAAUCUAUGCUAAUCAUUGGCACGUUCAAUCAACACAUCCAAAAAUAAAAAAUGUUUUAAAAAAAUCAAUUUUUUUUUUUAAGUUUAUUUAUUUUUGAGAGAGAGAGAGUGCGUGCACAAGUGGGAGAGGGACGCGGUUGUGUGUAUGUCGGGGGGGGGGGGGGGGCGGUCGGGGGUCUGGACAGAGGAUCCAGAGAAGGCUCUGUGCUGACAGCAGAGAGGCUGAUGCAGGGCCCAAACUCACCAACUGUGAGAUAAUGACCUGAGCUGAAGUUGGACGCUCAAUCGGCUGAGCCACCCAUGUGUUCCCCAAAAUCACCAAUUUGUAAAAGCCCAAGCAUUUUGGUUUUGUCAAUAAUAAAUCAAAUCUCUGUUUUUAAUGAA